rnacentral:rRNA from 1 species
UACGAAGGGGGGCUAGCGUUGUUCGGAAUCACUGGGCGUAAAGCGCACGCAGGCGGAUUGAUAAGUCAGGGGUGAAAUCCCGGGGCUCAACCUCGGAAUUGCCUUUGAUACUGUCUGUCUUGAGUUCGGGAGAGGUUGGCGGAAUUCCUAGUGUAGAGGUGAAAUUCGUAGAUAUUAGGAAGAACACCAGUGGCGAAGGCGGCCAACUGGCCCGAUACUGACGCUCAUGUGCGAAAGCGUGGGGAGCAAACAGG